rnacentral:misc_RNA from 1 species
GAUGAAGAACGUAGCGAAAUGCGAUAAGUAAUGUGAAUUGCAGAAUUCAGUGAAUCAUCGAAUCUUUGAACGCACCUUGCGCUCCUUGGUAUUCCUUGGAGCAUGCCUGUUUGAGUAUCAUGAAAUCCUCAAAAUAUAUCUUUCGUUCAUUUGAUUGGUUUUAUUUUGGACUUGGAGGUCUGCAGAUUCACGUCUGCUCCUCUCAAAUGCAUUAGCUGGAUCUCAGUGAGCUCGGUUCCACUCGGCGUGAUAAGUAUCACUCGCUGAGGACACUGUAAAAAGUGGCAGGGAUUGCAGAUGAACCGCUUAUAAUCGUCUAUUAGCUUAGACAAUUAAAUCUUAUGAUCUAAUCUCAAAUCAGGUAGGACUACCCGCUGAACUUAAGCAUAUCAAUAAGCGGGA